rnacentral:rRNA from 1 species
UACGUAGGGUGCGAGCGUUAAUCGGAAUUACUGGGCGUAAAGCGUGCGCAGGCGGUGAUGUAAGACAGUUGUGAAAUCCCCGGGCUCAACCCGGGAACUGCGUCCGAUACUGGAAGGCUUGAAUCCGGGAGAGGGAUGCGGAAUUCCAGGUGUAGCGGUGAAAUGCGUAGAUAUCUGGAGGAACACCGGUGGCGAAGGCGGCAUCCUGGACCGGCAUUGACGCUGAGGCGCGAAAGCCAGGGGAGCAAACGGG